rnacentral:misc_RNA from 1 species
GAGGGCACAGCUCCAUCACAGCAUCACCUGACAUUUGAAUCCGCUUGUGAGAAAGACAAGCUAUGAAUGCAUUAAAACCUGGAACAGGACACGGGUCUGGCAGAAUUCCUUAUCUAUGAAAUUUGUGUGUGAUCUUGAUCAUGUCAAUAGAAAUCUAAAUUGUAAAAGCCCCGUCAUGAUAAGUUUAAUGUUCUGAUCACAUUGAAUUCUUUUCUGCAACCACCUUAAAAUUUAAUAUACAUCAUAUUAAGGUGGUUACAAUCACAUGGCUCGAAAGGAAAAGCAGAAAAGAGUGACAAGACCCAGAGGAAUCUCAUACAAACAUGUAGUUAUUUCUAGUUUUGAUUUAGAUCAUGGAACCAAAGUUCGGGUUACUUGGAUUUCCAAUCUGCUUAUUUUUGAACAUCAAAAACA